AUGUUUGGUAAUCGUUUUUUUUUGUCACUGGCAACGAAUAAAAAGUAUUUUCUUUUCACUAUAAAUAACUUGACGAAAAAUAAUAUGACGUUCGUGACCAUAUAAUAAUGUCACACACACACACACACUCGUUAUUUUUUGACAACAAAAUCAAAAAAAAAGUAUCACAUUUUCCAAUUACGAACCGAAAUGAAAGACCAGUUCAAUCUUUUGUAGGCAGUCAACCAGUAGUCCUGUCUAUUUUAACUCCUUCCCAUUUCGAGAAUUUCAAAUGAGAGAAUCGAACAUGUUUUUCAAUUCCUAUAUAUCCCACCACUGUAAAUGAAUUCAACUGCUUUUCUAUCAUAAUUUGAUAACAAAAAUAAGAAAGUUUUCAACGAUUUCAA